CUUAUCUUGCUGACUACCCCAGGGAGAAAGCAGGGAAGCAGGGACAGUUAAGAGGUCCUAGUUUUCUUAGAGGAGCUGCAGAGAUCUACAGCAAGAUUGUUCAGUUGUUCAAAGAAAACCGUAAGAAGUCCUUUCUGCAGUUUGCUUCCUGUAGGAGAGAAAGCUUUGACAGAUUUACUUUUCCUGGAAAGUAUAACUGAACACACCAUUCCCACAAUAGAGGACAAUACUGGAGGAAGACCUCACUUGAGACUGAGCCGGAGUUUUACCUUUACCUGGAUGUUGAGGUUCAAAAAUGCUCUCCAUCUAAUACUUAUACAUUUGCCAACGUGGGAGUGAGAAUGCGAGCAGUGCAUCUGCUGUUUGUCCCUGGUCAGUGGAACAUUCGGGUCAGGCCUACAGAGGAGGAUCAUUCCCUUCGCAGUCUUUAAACAGAGGGGCAAACAGCUCUGAUCAUGUCAAACCCAGUGAGCGCACUUGGAAUCAACUCCAUGGUGUCGUGGAAGAAGGCUGGUGUGAAUCAUGUGAGAAUCACAGUGUAGAGUGAGCUGGCAGGAAAGGGAUGGAGAGAGGUUGGAAGACAGGUCGGCGGGCCGGGACUCCAACCCGUGACGGGCUGCAUCAGGGACUAAGGCCUCCGAACAUGGGUCACACGUUUUACCCCUGCGCCACCACCGCACCCCAUCAGAACUGAAUUUGGUCAUUCUUGUUAAACAUCUAAAAUACAUUGAUUCAUCAAAUGUAAACCAAUUGUUCCACGAUAAACAGUGUCCUAUUUGUACACAAGAAGCACUCUCCAUGUCUCCACCUUAGAAAGAGACCAGUGUGAAAACUGCAAUAUGCCGCCAUGUACAGACAGAUCAAACC